rnacentral:rRNA from 1 species
UACGGAGGGGGCAAGCGUUAUUCGGAAUUAUUGGGCGUAAAGGGCGCGUAGGCGGCUAGAUGUGUCAAAGGUGAAAUCCCUCGGCUCAACUGAGGAACUGCCUUUGAAACUGUCUGGCUUGAGGCCGGGAGAGGGUAGCGGAAUUCCCAGUGUAGCGGUGAAAUGCGUAGAUAUUGGGAGGAACACCAGUAGCGAAGGCGGCUACCUGGACCGGUUCUGACGCUGAGGCGCGAAAGCGUGGGUAGCAAACAGG